rnacentral:rRNA from 1 species
GACGAACGCUGGCGGCGUGCUUAACACAUGCCAGUCGAACGGAAAGGCCCUGCUUUUGUGGGGUGCUCGAGUGGCGAACGGGUGAGUAACACGUGAGUAACCUGCCCUUGACUUUGGGAUAACUUCAGGAAACUGGGGCUAAUACCGGAUAGGAGCUCCUGCUGCCUGGUGGGGGUUGGAAAGUUUCGGCGGUUGGGGAUGGACUCGCGGCUUAUCAGCUUGUUGGUGGGGUAGUGGCUUACCAAGGCUUUGACGGAUAGCCGGCCUGAGAGGGUGAACGGCGACAUUGGGACUGAGGUACGGCCCAGACGCGUACGGGAGGCAGCAGUGGGGAAUAUUGCACAAUGGGCGGAAGCCUGAUGCAGCAGCGCCGCGUGCGGGAUGACGGCCUUCGGGUUGUAAACCGCUUUCGCCUGUGACGAAGCGUGAGUGACGGUAAUGGGUAAAGAAGCACCGGCUAACUACGUG